rnacentral:rRNA from 1 species
GGAUUCAUAUUGAAAGAUUCGUUGGUGACGGAUGGGCUCGCGUAACAUUAGCUAGUCGGCGGGGUAACGGCCCACCGAGGCUACGAUGUUUAGGGGUUCUGAGAGGAAGGUCCCCCACACCGGAACUGAGACACGGUCCAGACUCCUACGGGAGGCAGCAGUAAGGAAUAUUGGUCAAUGGGCGGAAGCCUGAACCAGCCAUGCCGCGUGCAGGAAUAAGGCCCUAUGGGUCGUAAACUGCUUUUCCUUGAGGGCAAUAAGGGUCACGUGUGGUCCGAUGAGAGUAUCAGGGGAAUAAGCAUCGGCUAACUCCGUGCCAGCAGCCGCGGUAAUACGGAGGAUGCGAGCGUUAUCCGGAUUUAUUGGGUUUAAAGGGUGCGUAGGCGGAUUAUUAAGUCAGUGGUGAAAUACCCGUGCUCAACAUGGGCCGUGCCAUUGAUACUGGUAGUCUAGAGUUCCGUUGCCGUGGGAGGAAUGAGUAGUGUAGCGGUGAAAUGCUUAGAUAUUACUCAGAACACCGAUUGUGAAGACAUCUCACGAAGCGGCGACUGACGCUGAGGCACGAAAGCGUGGGGAUCGA